rnacentral:rRNA from 1 species
CGGACCGGCGCACGGGUGAGUAACACGUAUGCAACCUGGCCGUCACAGGUGGAUAACCGGAAGAAAUUCCGACUAAUACAGCAUAACACUCCUGAGGGACAUCCCUUGGGAGUCAAAGGAGGCAACUCCGGUGACGGAUGGGCAUGCGGCGCAUUAGGUAGUUGGUAGGGUAACGGCCUACCAAGCCGACGAUGCGUAGGGGUUCUGAGAGGAAGGUCCCCCACACUGGUACUGAGACACGGACCAGACUCCUACGGGAGGCAGCAG